GAUGAACGCUGGCGGCGUGCCUAAUACAUGCAAGUCGAGCGAACGGACGAGAAGCUUGCUUUUCUGAUGUUAGCGGCGGACGGGUGAGUAACACGUGGAUAACCUACCUAUAAGACUGGGAUAACUUCGGGAAACCGGAGCUAAUACCGGAUAAUAUUUUGAACCGCAUGGUUCAAAAGUGAAAGACGGUCUUGCUGUCACUUAUAGAUGGAUCCGCGCUGCAUUAGCUAGUUGGUAAGGUAACGGCUUACCAAGGCAACGAUGCAUAGCCGACCGGAGAGGGUGAUCGGCCACACUGGAACUGAGACACGGUCCAGACUCCUACGGGAGGCAGCAGUAGGGAAUCUUCCGCAAUGGGCGAAAGCCUGACGGAGCAACGCCGCGUGAGUGAUGAAGGUCUUCGGAUCGUAAAACUCUGUUAUUAGGGAAGAACAUAUGUGUAAGUAACUGUGCACAUCUUGGCGGUACCUAAUCAGAAAGCCACGGCUAACUACGUG
rnacentral:rRNA from 1 species